UACGUAGGGUCCGAGCGUUGUCCGGAAUUAUUGGGCGUAAAGGGCUCGUAGGCGGUUUGUCACGUCGGGAGUAGAAACGACGGGCUUAACCCCGUGCCUGCUUCCGAUACGGGCAGACUAGAGGUAUGCAGGGGAGAACGGAAUUCCUGGUGUAGCGGUGAAAUGCGCAGAUAUCAGGAGGAACACCGGUGGCGAAGGCGGUUCUCUGGGCAUUACCUGACGCUGAGGAGCGAAAGUGUGGGGAGCGAACAGG
rnacentral:rRNA from 1 species